GUUUCAUAACAUUUUUUUUUAAACUUAAAACAUGAAAAACCAAUUAACUAAACAUAAAUAAAAUUAAAUAUAGUUUUUUUCCCAUUCUUUCUUACCUGUUCAUUUCCCCUUCUUUCCUUCUUCUUUCUUCUUCGUCUUCUUCUUCUUCUUCAUUACCAGCCACCCUAGUUCAACACAUCUUGCUAGAUAGAGCUGGAUGACUGGGGGAGCAGCGGCGAGGAUGGGCACGCAGCGACAAGGUUGGACCACAGAGAUGUGAUGCUGGACAUCGGUGAGGUUGGAUGUGGCUGGGUCUAAUUUAUUUUCCCCAAAACCCAGAUCUAGAUUUAUUAUUUCUUCCUGGUGAGCCUCUCUUCUUCUCCUUCGCUAUUUCUCUUUCUCUAACUCUUUUUCUCUAUCAAUAUUGAUGGGCUUCGACUUCGACUGCGAUGGGGUUGGGUUUAUGGGCUUCGACAUCUAUGGCGACAAGCAUGUAGCAAUGGUGAGGACUUCUUUUAUGAACUACUUUUCUUUUUUAGCAAAGUCAAAUUUUGGAAGAAGACACAUUGAAGCAAUUUGUGUUUUAUGAACAAGGCAUGAAUCGGCUAGCGGUAAAGGCUAGGUGGCUGUGGUGUUGGCUUCAAUUUGAUUUUUAUUUUUUCAUUUCAGAUGUGAUUAGUGUAUUUUCUAGGUUUCAGUAUACAUAAACAUAAUUAUUGUAAUUUUUGGAUAAGAUUUUCCCCUUUGAUGUAUUACAUUCAGUUAAAAUUUAUGAGAUUUUGUUUCAUCUUUUUUA